rnacentral:rRNA from 1 species
UACGGAGGGUGCAAGCGUUAUCCGGAUUCACUGGGUUUAAAGGGUGCGUAGGCGGGCAUGUAAGUCAGUGGUGAAAUCUCCGGGCUUAACCCGGAAAUUGCCGUUGAUACUAUGUGUCUUGAAUAUCGUUGAGGUUUGCGGAAUAUGUCAUGUAGCGGUGAAAUGCUUAGAUAUGACAUAGAACACCAAUUGCGAAGGCAGCAGGCUAAACGAACAUUGACGCUGAGGCACGAAAGCGUGGGGGAUCAAACAGG